rnacentral:pre_miRNA from 1 species
AAUAUACUUUCUUCAUCUUAAAAUUCUUGUCUUAGAUUGUCUAGAUAUAAAUAUAUCUAGUCAUAUUUUAAUAUUUAGCUAUAUUUAUUUCUAGAUAAACUUAAGAUAAGAAUUUUAAGACGGAGGGAGUAUUUG